ACCUCGGUGGUGUACUGGUUAACACGUUCGCAUGGUAAACAGGAGGCCGUGGGUUCGAUCCCAGCCCAGGUA
rfam:Asian citrus Psyllid, Diaphorina citri - Florida Strain, whole genome shotgun sequence.